rnacentral:rRNA from 1 species
GACGAACGCUGGCGGCGUGCUUAACACAUGCAAGUCGAACGAUGAAGCUAGAGCUUGCUCUGGUGAAUUAGUGGCGAACGGGUGAGUAACAUGUGAGUAACCUGCCCCGAACUCUGGGAUAACUGCUGGAAACGGUAGCUAAUACUGGAUACGACCUACGAAGGCAUCUUCUGUAGGUGGAAAGAAUUUCGGUUCGGGAUGGACUCGCGGCCUAUCAGCUUGUUGGUGAGGUAAUGGCUCACCAAGGCGACGACGGGUAGCCGGCCUGAGAGGGGGGGCGGCAAGACUGGGACGGAGACACGGCCCAGACUCCUACGGGAGGCAGCAGUGGGGAAUAUUGCACAAUGGGCGCAAGCCUGAUGCAGCAACGCCGCGUGAGGGAUGACGGCCUUCGGGUUGUAAACCUCUUUUAGUAGGGAAGAAGCGAAAGUGACGGUACCUGCAGAAAAAGCACCGGCUAACUACGUGCCAGCCGCCGCGGUAA